UACGUAGGGUGCAAGCGUUGUCCGGAAUUAUUGGGCGUAAAGAGCGUGUAGGCGGCUUGGUAGGUCUCGCGUCAAAACCUGAGGCUCAACCUCAGUUCGCGUGGGAAACCACCUAGCUAGAGUCCGGAAGAGGAGAACGGAAUUCCCAGUGUAGCGGUGAAAUGCGCAGAUAUUGGGAGGAACACCGGUGGCGAAGGCGGUUCUCUGGGCCUGUACUGACGCUGAGGAGCGAAAGCGUGGGGAGCAAACAGG
rnacentral:rRNA from 1 species